AGAGUAUUAAUCCCCUUAAAAGGGAUCCUUAAAAGGGAAAUAUUUGAGGCUCUGUUGUUAUGAAGAAAUCAGCAAUUAUCUUUCUUCUCACCUCGCUCCUCACAUAGUCAUAUUCUUCUUCCAGUUUUCUUCAAUAUCUGGAUACAAUCCUCCAAACUUACUAUUCCAAGUAUUCAUCCUCCUGCCUAACUUGACAUCACCAAACACUAUAACCCAACUUCUCAGAACCCUGUUGGGACUCUGGGUUGCUUUGCACGUGUUUCCUUUCCCCAGAAUCCAAAGAAACCCUGAGAGCUGAAAUCCCAAGACUUGAUAUAAACUUGGAAGGUCUCACCCUCCCAGCUGACCUUGCAUGGGCUGAUUUCUCCUUGGAUAAUCAACUCUCAGGACCACUAAGGAAGUCAGGCAAAACUCUGGGGUCAUGCCUGCCAUUAUAGGAGUGGUAACCAAGACUUUGGGCAACAUUACCUAGAGCAUCAACAUCCUAGCUUGAGAGCUGCAAGAAA
rnacentral:lncRNA from 1 species